rnacentral:rRNA from 1 species
GGCGGCGUGCUUAACACAUGCAAGUCGAACGAUGAAGCCCAGCUGCUGGGUGGAUUAGUGGCGAACGGGUGAGUAACACGUGAGUAACCUGCCCUUAACUCUGGGAUAAGCCUGGGAAACUGGGUCUAAUACCGGAUAGGAGCGUCCACCGCAUGGUGGGUGUUGGAAAGAUUUAUCGGUUUUGGAUGGACUCGCGGCCUAUCAGCUUGUUGGUGAGGUAAUGGCUCACCAAGGCGACGACGGGUAGCCGGCCUGAGAGGGUGACCGGCCACACUGGGACUGAGACACGGCCCAGACUCCUACGGGAGGCAGCAGUGGGGAAUAUUGCACAAUGGGCGCAAGCCUGAUGCAGCGACGCCGCGUGAGGGAUGACGGCCUUCGGGUUGUAAACCUCUUUCAGUAGGGAAGAAGCGAAAGUGACGGUACCUGCAGAAGAAGCACCGGCUAACUACGUGCCAGCAGCCGCGGUAAUACGUAGGGUGCGAGCGUUAUCCGGAAUUAUUGGGCGUAAAGAGCUCGUAGGCGGUUUGUCGCGUCUGUCGUGAAAGUCCGGGGCUUAACCCCGGAUCUGCGGUGGGUACGGGCAGACUAGAGUGCGGUAGGGGAGACUGGAAUUCCUGGUGUAGCGGUGGAAUGCGCAGAUAUCAGGAGGAACACCGAUGGCGAAGGCAGGUCUCUGGGCUGUAACUGACGCUGAGGAGCGAAAGCAUGGGGAGCGAACAGGAUUAGAUACCCUGGUAGUCCAUGCCGUAAACGUUGGGCACUAGGUGUGGGGACCAUUCCACUGGUUUCCGUGCCGCUAGCUAACGCAU